UUUGGUGUGCUGUGCUUGAAACGAGUGGUGCAGACGUGCAGCGGGGGUGGCGGAGGAGCAGAGUGGCUUAGGGGCUCCGUUUGCGCGUUCACAGACAUGUGCUCCCGUCUUGGUCUCAUUAGCGGCUGUCGCGAGAUUGUGGUGUGCUAGUUCCUUGCCUAACAUAAAGUUUGCCGCGCUAACAAACAGCAUGUUCACGUUUUUCCGCGCUAUAAGUCAUUUGCAUGACGGCCGAGUUGAAAACGAGGCAUAUGUCUGUGUUCCUUGCGUUUGUGUGUUGUAAAUUACUUUCUAUUGUGGAAGUUCUUGGAGUUUUAUUACGCAAGGAGUGCCAACGUAAACAUAAACAGAUAUGUGUGUCUGAAAUUUUGUAUUACCCAUAAUACCCUUUACGACUGAUAAGUGAGCUACACGGCCUGUGUGAAUCAGCUACCGUAUGUUGCGACGCUCAUCCGUGUGGUAGACUGAUGCAUGGUGCGCGUUUAUUUCUGUAGUGUUGUAAAAACCAUUUGUUUAUUCACUCAAUACAAAUGUACGGCUUCUUCGCCGCAGUACAUUUUAGUUACGCGGUGAAUCAUACGAAAAGUGGGAGGGGGCCGCUAUCAGCCAGCAUAGUAUGCCCACUUAGGCGACCUGAGAGGCGGCGGGUGCGCGAGUGUAUAAUUAAAGAACUCUCAUUAUGUCCAGUGACAGUGGCCCCUUUUCACUUUUAGUAUGCUUCACUGCAGUACACUGCUUAGGCUUCACCGCGAAAUAUUAGUGUAUUGCGAGAAAGAUAAUCGUAAAACGCCUAAUCAUGCAACGCUUCUUUCGUAGCUUGCUACACCGCAAUACGGGGGUGUAAAUAAGCAUCGUGCAGUAAAGCAUACUAAGAGUGGAAAGGGCACAUAGGCUUACACUGUGCUCAAUAUUUUCAAUUGUGACAUAAUUUGCAAGUGCAUCUAUGCUCGUGGUAAGCUUCAUUGACAAUUCUUUGUACAUUACAAAUUCAUAUUGCAGAGAAGCUUACUAAAGCACAUUUGCCAUUAUGGUACAUGCUAUUCACCUUCAAUGCAGGAUCACAAUGCGGAUUCUUGCCCCUGCUUUUGGCUGGACUGCACAUGCUCUUUGAGAAUUGAUUCAUUGUUCAUAAGUGCACUGGUACUUUACUCUAAACUGGAGGGCUCAAGUUGAUAUGAAAGCACAAUUUUUAUUAAGGGGACAAGAUGAUGCCGAGAUGGUUGCAGCACAACUUUUCUUUUUCUUCCAGGCACCUUUUCUACUUAAAGCUUCUAUUGCAGUGUUUCGAGCCUCUUUGAACCAGCACGUAGUGUAUAUAAAAAUUGGACACUGAUUGGGAACAUCACCUAAGUUCAUGCCUAUCUAUAGUAAAAAGCUGUAGCACGACCAGACAAAAUAAAAGAAGGGGGUGGGCUGCAGCAAUACUAAGUGUUAAAUGGUGCUUUAUCCUUUCCCUGAACUUUCUGUUUUUGUGCUUUUUAUGGAUUCUCCGCAGUAACCACGCGAGUGCCGAACUUGAGCUUAUUGGUUUCAAGUCUCAUGGUUGUUACUAACAGAACAGUGUGAUAAACAAACAAGGGCUUCGAGGCAUCCGUUCACCUUGCUUGCCUCAUGGUGCUGCUUCAUAAGCACCGUGAGCAUCGAGGCCAACUAGGAAGGGAGGUUUCUUGCAAUUGCUUCUGAACUGUAUUGCCACCAAACUACAGUGCUCUCAAUGACAACUUUUGGCCAGCAGAAUGCUUGCACCCAGCAAAGUCUAAGAAGGAAGCAUUCAGGAUGUGCGAAGUAGGCCUUUUCAAGCUGGCAUCAUCGCUGAAGGGGUUUUGCCUGUCUGCCCUCUUUAUGGAUACACAAAGAUGAUUUCCUCUUUGAGAGGGAUUGUUUCAGCGGUCGCUACAUGGCAACAAUGCUGGGUGUAUAGUAGCUUGUCUUUGCUCACUGUCAAUAAUAUGUUCCUUUUUCCAGUGCCCCUGUGGAAAUGCCUACUUUUUGGACACAAAGUGCUCUCCAUGCAUGCAUGCAUUUUUAGCUUGUAAAGACAUCUAUUACCCCUUGCCUCAAGCUGGUCCUUGCUGAUGUCACCCAAGAAGUAUUGGGGAGUAUGGCAAUAUACACUUACAAAACACUGUUGAUACCAGUGAAACCAAAUUAAUGGAGCUGCUGUUCUUUUUUUUUGUCCACUCCAUCCUGGUUAGUUACAAUGAGCAAUGUCCGAACAGAAGGCAUAUGUAGUUGGUUGUGCAUAGCCUGCACACAAGGGUGCGAUCUUGUACGCCUUCCAAAAUAGAACGGAGGUGGUCCGUUCCACCCAGCCGCACACGGUUGGUCAGUUUGAACGGUGACGAACGCCAUGACGUCAAUUGUGAAGCGAUAUCUGCUGUCAAUCAUUCCGUGUCGUCUGCUAUCGGACGAACGCAACGGAACGGACCGCCAAUUUCGCGACGGAAAGAACGGACCACCUCCGUUCGAUUUGGAACGCGUACAAGAUCGCACCCUAACCGUACGCGGUGAAUCGUGCGCGCCUGGCUGCGCGUCACGCGUCUGCGAGGCCGUACGCGCCUGUCUUACGCGUCUAGAGAGGGCAGACGCGCAGGAAACGCGCGCGUCAAGGUCUUGAUCUUGGGCGUCAUUUUGAGCGUACGCCACGGAAGUGGCAGCUUGUGCACCGACGUCACGUGGGCCGCAUGUACACUUCCGGCGGUUCGGAAAGGUUGUUGAAGUUUCAGAAUCGUGCGGAGACGCCGGGAGUCGCUGCUGGUUUCGUGUCGAUAGAGCACAGAGGCUAUGGAGGCGAUCAACAACGAAGCGCUGAUCGCCUGCGUUGAGGCUCGACCUGCGCUUUGGUAGCAGGCGAAACACAAGCGCCACUAGAACAAGCACUUGACGAGGUGGUCGUGCAUCGUCAUGCCCAACGCUGCCGAACGGAUGACGUUAUCACAGCGCUGCAGAAGUGAUGGAAGUCCCUGGGGAAUAAAUUUCGGCGCCUGGGAAGACGUUUCAGAAAGGAAAGAGCCGCGCCGUGCCAGUCGACGUUCACGACGACGUCAUCUGGCUGUUUUUCGACCAGAUGAUGUUUCUGCGCUACACAAUGGAGUGUAGACCGAUGUCCGCCAACCUUCCACUAGUGCCCCCAUCGAGUGAGGAGGGAAGUGCUGCAGACAUCUUAACAAAAAAUGUGCCAGUUUUCCGAUCUGGCAACACUUGAAGUGCCAUCACCGUCAAGUGAAGAGUCACAAGCGCCAGCAUCGACUCUGUCUUCGGCGUCGCAUGAGUCUGUGGAGUCUCAGGACAUUUUGGAAUCUCUUGAAUCACCGAUGUUUCAAAAAGUUCUGGUUCCUGAGGAUUCUGAGGCACACCACAGCAGUCCGCAGUCAGAAGCAUCGCUGGCUUCAGCAGGCAGUUGUAGGCUGGUUACGUUAGGAAACAUUGCUUCUGAAGCAAAGUCAAGGGGGAGGAAAAGGAAAAAGAAAGAUUAGAGUCAGUUAAUAUUGGAGGAAUUAGGCAAUGUUUCAAGUGCAAUCAAAAGAUGCAAACCACAGGACGACCUCGAACUUUUGCCGUCUCUCUGCUCAAACACAUUAGAGAGGUCAGUGAGGAUAUGCAUCUCGACUUGAAAAUUAAAUUUAUGCAAGUAGGAGAGUAAUUCAAAGAUUAAUGUUUUUUAAUGUAUACUUUUUGUAUAUUAAAGCCAAGAGACAAUGAAACAAAAGGAAAUCAUUGAUGAAUUUAAUUACUUUAUAUCGAAAUGGAAAAAUAAGGAGGAAAAUGAAAGUAUAUGAAAAGGUAGCUUCACACUAAUGGGAGACGAACCCACAACCUUUGAAUUAUGCUUGCAUUGCUUUACCAGUAGAGCUGCAGCAAUGGCUAUCCCUCUGCAAACUUUCUUGGGCCUGUAUGUGCAUGUACUAUAUCUCACCCUGGUAGUGUUAGCCAGUGCUGCUCGUGCAAGAACACUCCAAGAGCCUAAUCUAGUACACAUAAACAUUCUAUGAAAUUGAUGGUGGAAUAGCCUCCAGCUCAAUUGGUUUUGGUUUUAGCUCCCACCAGUGGCAAGUUAUAUUUUGUCCACUUUCAUUUCCCUUCUCCUUCUGAUGUUGACAUUACAAAUAAAAUGACAGUUAUUUUCCUUUAUGCUUUA